GACAGCUUCAGUUUCAGCUCGCCA
rnacentral:siRNA from 1 species